rnacentral:rRNA from 1 species
AGAGUUUGAUCAUGGCUCAGAUUGAACGCUGGCGGCAGGCCUAACACAUGCAAGUCGAGCGGUAGCACAGAGAGCUUGCUCUCGGGUGACGAGCGGCGGACGGGUGAGUAAUGUCUGGGAAACUGCCUGAUGGAGGGGGAUAACUACUGGAAACGGUAGCUAAUACCGCAUAACGUCGCAAGACCAAAGUGGGGGACCUUCGGGCCUCAUGCCAUCAGAUGUGCCCAGAUGGGAUUAGCUAGUAGGUGGGGUAACGGCUCACCUAGGCGACGAUCCCUAGCUGGUCUGAGAGGAUGACCAGCCACACUGGAACUGAGACACGGUCCAGACUCCUACGGGAGGCAGCAGUGGGGAAUAUUGCACAAUGGGCGCAAGCCUGAUGCAGCCAUGCCGCGUGUGUGAAGAAGGCCUUCGGGUUGUAAAGCACUUUCAGCGGGGAGGAAGGCGAUAAGGUUAAUAACCUCAGCGAUUGACGUUACCCGCAGAAGAAGCACCGGCUAACUCCGUGCCAGCAGCCGCGGUAAUACGGAGGGUGCAAGCGUUAAUCGGAAUUACUGGGCGUAAAGCGCACGCAGGCGGUCUGUCAAGUCGGAUGUGAAAUCCCCGGGCUCAACCUGGGAACUGCAUUCGAAACUGGCAGGCUAGAGUCUUGUAGAGGGGGGUAGAAUUCCAGGUGUAGCGGUGAAAUGCGUAGAGAUCUGGAGGAAUACCGGUGGCGAAGGCGGCCCCCUGGACAAAGACUGACGCUCAGGUGCGAAAGCGUGGGGAGCAAACAGGAUUAGAUACCCUGGUAGUCCACGCCGUAAACGAUGUCGAUUUGGAGGUUGUGCCCUUGAGGCGUGGCUUCCGGAGCUAACGCGUUAAAUCGACCGCCUGGGGAGUACGGCCGCAAGGUUAAAACUCAAAUGAAUUGACGGGGGCCCGCACAAGCGGUGGAGCAUGUGGUUUAAUUCGAUGCAACGCGAAGAACCUUACCUGGUCUUGACAUCCACAGAACUUUCCAGAGAUGGAUUGGUGCCUUCGGGAACUGUGAGACAGGUGCUGCAUGGCUGUCGUCAGCUCGUGUUGUGAAAUGUUGGGUUAAGUCCCGCAACGAGCGCAACCCUUAUCCUUUGUUGCCAGCGGUUCGGCCGGGAACUCAAAGGAGACUGCCAGUGAUAAACUGGAGGAAGGUGGGGAUGACGUCAAGUCAUCAUGGCCCUUACGACCAGGGCUACACACGUGCUACAAUGGCAUAUACAAAGAGAAGCGACCUCGCGAGAGCAAGCGGACCUCAUAAAGUAUGUCGUAGUCCGGAUUGGAGUCUGCAACUCGACUCCAUGAAGUCGGAAUCGCUAGUAAUCGUAGAUCAGAAUGCUACGGUGAAUACGUUCCCGGGCCUUGUACACACCGCCCGUCACACCAUGGGAGUGGGUUGCAAAAGAAGUAGGUAGCUUAACCUUCGGGAGGGCGCUUACCACUUUGUGAUUCAUGACUGGGGUGAAGUCGUAACAAGGUAACCGUAGGGGAACCUGCGGUUGGAUCACCU